GGAGUCUAAAUUCCGUUGGAUAAAAGGAUUUCGUAGUGGAAGAAGACAUUUGUUGGAAUUGGAUUUCAGUUGAGUUCUAGAGAUAAGAUGCUUCUGUAGGACUCAACUCACUUCCAGAGGACACAAUAGAGAGAAUGCAGAAAUUGGGAGAUUUCAAGCUACCACAUUUCUUCAAUUAUCCUCCAUAUUUCACUUUGCAACCAGUGAGGGACACCCGUGAGAAGCAAAUUCAACUUUGG
rnacentral:misc_RNA from 1 species